UGAUGGUAGUGUUGUGCUCCUACAUGUCAGGACAUUCUGGUAGAAACAUAUAGACAGAAGAUGGUAGAGUUGUGCUGCUACAUGUCAGGACAUUCUGGUAGAAACAUAUAGACAGAUGAUGGUAGUGUUGAGCUGAUACAUGUCAGGACAUUCUGGUAGAAACAUACAGACAGAAGAUGGUAGUGUUGUGGGUGUGUCCUCUUGUCUGUCUACAACAAGGUUUAUCUAGUUGUCCUUAUUGUCACGAAACAUCACAAAGUAACUCCUAUGUGACGGUGACAUGUAGUCAGACCAUACAAUCAAGUGAUGAAGCUGUCACACGUGUAUUUACUUAUUUUGUUGAAACUGAAAGCGACGGCUGCUGUGUACAGAUGUAAAACGUCUGAAAAGAAAUAGAAACGUAAUACAUGUGUAGUGAUUUGUAUCAAUCUGUAAACUUGGUUCAUGUAAGAAUA